rnacentral:rRNA from 1 species
UACGUAGGGGGCGAGCGUUGUCCGGAUUUACUGGGCGUAAAGCGCGUGUAGGCGGUACUCUAAGUCCGGGGUGAAAUCCGGGGGCUUAACCCCAAGUCGCAAUGGAAACUGCAAAGCUUGAGUGCAGAAGAGGAAAGUGGAAUUCCACGUGUAGCGGUGAAAUGCGUAGAGAUGUGGAGGAACACCAGUGGCGAAGGCGACUUUCUGGGCUGUAACUGACGCUGAGGCGCGAAAGCGUGGGGAGCAAACAGG